rnacentral:rRNA from 1 species
AGAGUGAACGCUGGCGGCAGGCCUAAUACAUGCAAGUCGAACGGCAGCACAGCAGAGCUUGCUCUGUGGGUGGCGAGUGGCGGACGGGUGAGGAAUACAUGGGAAUCUGCCCAGUCGUGGGGGAUAACGUAUGGAAACGUACGCUAAUACCGCAUGCGCCCUUCGGGGGAAAGCCGGGGACCUUCGGGCCUGGCGCGAUUGGAUGAGCCCAUGUCGGAUUAGCUAGUUGGCGGGUAAAGCCCACCAAGGCGACGAUCCGUAGCUGGUCUGAGAGGAUGAUCAGCCACACUGGAACUGAGACACGGUCCAGACUCCUACGGGAGCAGCAGUAGGGAAUAGUGGACAAGUGGGCGCAAGCCUGAUCCAGCCAUGCCGCGUGAGUGAAGAGGCCUUGGUGUAAGCUCUUCGAGCGGAAAGAAACGCGACGGUUAAUACCCUGUGUGA